ACUUAAUAAUUGGAACUGGUUUUGGUCAGGCGUUCGAAGCCGGGCCCUAGCGGGCAGCGGUUGUGAAAUCCGCGGGACUUCA
rnacentral:ncRNA from 1 species